AUGUGGGAAAACAAGGGUGGACAAGAAGUCACUCAAGCUGAGAUGUUUAUUGAAACACGAAAAAGUCGCAAGGGAAAACAAGUGGAUGAGGAAACCCAAUUUGCAAUUGAUAAACUUCAAGAAUCUAUUGAAAAUUCAACUGAAGCUGGAACACAAACAUUUCAAUCACUGUUUUGGAAAGAAAAGUCCGAUAGAGUGAGAUGUUAUGGAAGAACUGCCACACCGUCAUUGUUGAAAAAAUGA